GAUCCUAAGGGAAAACAGCAAAUGAAGAAACAUCUGUCUAAGAGAAGCUAUAAAAAUUCAGUAAGAGAAACAAGUCUGUGGUAUUUGAACCACUACAGCUUCUUUCUUUCCCCCUCCCAGAUCCGUAAGGCAGAGAUUCUACUUCAGACUGCUGCAGCCAAGAACAUAGGGCUCCCUCUCCCCUCUGGCUUCCAGCCAGAAGACUUUCUUCCCAGGAGAGACAGCACUUCAGCAUCAUUCAUACUGACACCAGCUACUUUUUUUCUGAGGCUAAGUAUCAGGGUGACCAUCUUGCCCAGAGACCAUGUGUGGAAACUCCUAGUCAGAAGUUGGAUUAAAGAUGACAGGAUCCAUCUAAAGACAAAUGUAAGCCUUGCCAGUUUAAUAUUAAGUGCUAAGCAGAGUAGUUAAUGUCUAUGUCUUGUCACACAUAUUUUACUCUGGCCAGAACAGAAAAAGAUAAUCUUCCUUUGUGUUGUGGCCAGACCCUGAGGCUAUGGUACAGUGAGCUGGGUUACUAGGGCCACUUAGGGAAAGGGAACCCAAAAGCCUGGCAUGCUGGCAAAAGGGUAAGAAUUUCUUACCAGUCAGACUUCUGGCCUCUCUCUCUCUCUGCAAACUGGUUGAAUGAAUAGUAAAAAAUCACUGUUUAUCUCUUGUAAAGUUUUAAUUAAUCAGAGAAAGGACUUGUAAGGCUAGUCUUAAGCUAUAGCAAAUUUGGUGUGCUUUGUGUGUCUUUCUGUAUUUUCUGUCAUAAUGAGGGGUACCCUAAGAUAGAACACAGUCUUAGGAUACCUGUAAGCCCAGUGCUCAAGACAUACCAGCAGACUGAUCAGUUAUAAACUUUGCUGCAGGUCCUUGAAAAAAAAAACUAGAUAAGGUUUCCCUCUUGACUCGCAUGUCCUUGGGAGCUUGAGCUUGUAACCAUGUGGCCAUGCUUUCUCUUUUCACAAUGGCGGCCUGGGUUCAGGGUUCAAUUUUUGGCUUGGAAAAUGAGUCCUUUAACUUCUAUGUAUUUAUAUGUAUUAUGUGUGUGAUGUUUAUAUAUAAAAGAGCUUUGAAUAAUUGGUUUUAAAAUAAUAAAAGCUUAAAUCACAUAUUUUGUCAGAAAAGUAAAAAGUGUAAUGCCUUUUAGUUCAUGUGACUUAAGUAAUCUUUGGGAAAUAAAGACGGUUUUUAAAAUUAUUGGUAAAAUGGAAAUGUCAAAUAGGGCAAAUGUCAAGCUGUAACCAAUCCAGCCGUUCUGUAUCUCACUUCCAACUUCUGUAUGUCAUUUCCUGUUUUUGUCUAAAAUUUUCCAUGUGGCUGCACUGGAAUCUCUGUGAAUCUGCUGUCAUUUUAGGGGCUGACCAAUUUGCGAAUCGUCCAUCGCUCAAUUAAACUCCUUUAAAUUUAA